GAUCCUGGCUCAGGACGAACGCUGGCGGCGCGCCUAACACAUGCAAGUCGAACGGAGCUGAGAGGAGCUUGCUUUUCUUAGCUUAGUGGCGAACGGGUGAGUAACGCGUGAGAAACCUGCCCUGGAGUGGGGGACAACAGUUGGAAACGACUGCUAAUACCGCAUAAGCCCACGAUCCGGCAUCGGAUUGAGGGAAAAGGAUUUAUUCGCUUCAGGAUGGACUCGCGUCCAAUUAGCUAGUUGG
rnacentral:rRNA from 1 species